CGGGUACCAUUGCUAGAUGGUCACUUCAAUUAGUACAGAAAUUGGUUCCUGUGCUACCGGCUUAGGUUCGAACCUGCGGGGUCACACACAUUAGAGGUUCCUAUCUGAUCUGAUGGCUGAUGAAGAGUCCUAAUGCUCAUAGACUAUGAGUCCUAUGUGUCUGGGACUCUGUGAUCGAGAAUCAAGAUUCUCUGAUCACGAGUCCCACACAUUUUUGGUACCGGGGUCAAGAGUCCCACUGGUUUGGGACUCUUCGAUCAGGGUUACAUAUCGAUGAAUUCUGAUGCCCGAUUAUCCA
rnacentral:lncRNA from 1 species